rnacentral:rRNA from 1 species
CCUACGGGUGGCUGCAGUGAGGAAUAUUGCGCAAUGGGGGAAACCCUGACGCAGCGACGCCGCGUGAGUGAGGAAGGUUUUCGGAUCGUAAAGCUCUGUCAGAAGGGAAGAAGUGUUAUGUGGUUAACACCCAUGUAAUUUGACGGUACCUUCAGAGGAAGCACCGGCUAACUCCGUGCCAGCAGCCGCGGUAAUACGGAGGGUGCAAGCGUUGUUCGGAAUUACUGGGCGUAAAGGGCGCGUAGGCGGCCUGAUAAGUCAGAUGUGAAAGUCCACGGCUCAACCGUGGAAGUGCAUUUGAAACUGUCAGGCUUGAGUAUCGGAGGGGAAAGUGGAAUUCCCGGUGUAGAGGUGAAAUUCGUAGAGAUCGGGAGGAACACCGGUGGCGAAGGCGACUUUCUGGACGAAUACUGACGCUGAGGCGCGAAAGCGUGGGGAGCAAACAGGAUUAGAUACCCUGGUAGUC